rnacentral:lncRNA from 1 species
UCAACUUAUUCACAGAUAGUACCCUAGUAAGAAAAAGAAGGUGGAGGUAGGAAACUAUGUGAAAGAAUCUCCUGAUGUCAUAAUUUCCGGGUGUCACCGGAACAUUUGAUCAUCAUUCCUUUGGCAAUUCCAGCCUUCUGUGGAAAGGCCAGUAGAAAGCAUUGAUUUAUUCACCUCUACAGGAAUCAGACUCAGCCUCUUUUGGUUUUCAGUGAAGUAUGCCUUUUCAAUUUGGAACCCAGCCAAGGAGGUUUCCAGUGGAAGGAGGAGAUUCUUCAAUUGAGCUGGAACCUGGGCUGAGCUCCAGUGCUGCCUGUAAUGGGAAGGAGAUGUCACCAACCAGGCAACUCCGGAGGUGCCCUGGAAGUCAUUGCCUGACAAUAACUGAUGUUCCCGUCACUGUUUAUGCAACAACGAGAAAGCCACCUGCACAAAGCAGCAAGGAAAUGCAUCCUAAAUAGCACCAUUAAGUCUUUUGUCAAGGUCUGACUAGGUCAAGGGUAAUGGACCAGUAUCAUCUGGUGAUCUGGUAAACAAAUAA